AAUCUUGUGAACUUCUAUUUAGUUGACUUCAAGCAGUAUGCAGGAAACAGGUCUGUAAAGAAAGACAAUGGAGAUCCUCUGUCUCCUGCUGCCUACUCAUCUUCAUCCUGAACGCUGGCGUGGACACUCCAUAGGCAGUUGACAUGACUGUUGACUCUAUAGCUCAACAACUGCAGUCAGCUUAGCAGUGGGAAGGGUGCAGAGCAGGAGCAAAUUGGAGGAGUUUGAAUGACUCAAGACAUAAGAUGAAAAGAAAGGGAAAUAUCCAAUGAAGAUCUCUGAAAGGAAGGAGGCAUGUUGUCAGGGACUAAACACUGAAGUAUUUUGAGAAAGGCAGAACCAACAUCAUCUUUUGAGGAGCAACUGGUCUACAAUGAGUAGGCUUUCUACAAAAGCAUCCCUGGACCCUGUGUCUCCACUGAGAAGCAAGGGAGGAGUUAUAAACAAGAAAACACCUAGGUCCCAGAUGCCUUUGCACAGUCGCUUAGCUGCCCAAGACCAGGUGUCUUCACAAAGCAGCACUGCAAUCUCCUAGGGGGUUGAUUCCUGUUGGCUUAUGAAUUGAAAAAGUCCUGCCUGCAUGUCCAAUGUCCCAUUAUUGGUAGAUAAGGCAUAAAAUGCAUGUGCCCU